GGUUGUAUAGUGUAGUGGAUAGCACGCCAGAUUCUGAUUACUCUGAUUUCUGGCGACCCCGGUUCGAUCCCGGGUACGACCU
rnacentral:tRNA from 1 species